GUGCCAGCAGCCGCGGUAAUACGUAGGGUGCAAGCGUUAUCCGGAAUUAUUGGGCGUAAAGAGCUCGUAGGCGGUUUGUCGCGUCUGCUGUGAAAACUGGGGGCUCAACCCCCAGCCUGCAGUGGGUACGGGCAGACUAGAGUGCGGUAGGGGAGAUUGGAAUUCCUGGUGUAGCGGUGGAAUGCGCAGAUAUCAGGAGGAACACCGAUGGCGAAGGCAGAUCUCUGGGCCGUAACUGACGCUGAGGAGCGAAAGCAUGGGGAGCGAACAGGAUUAGAUACCCUGGUAGUCCAUGCCGUAAACGUUGGGAACUAGAUGUAGGGACCAUUCCACGGUUUCUGUGUCGCAGCUAACGCAUUAAGUUCCCCGCCUGGGGAGUACGGCCGCAAGGCUAAAACUCAAAGGAAUUGACGG
rnacentral:rRNA from 1 species